AAUUUUGAGCGGUCGCGGUUAACUUAUGUUAGCUGAGGAAAGUCCACGCACGCACGAACUGCGAAGUUUGUAGUGUUCGUAUUCAGCCUAAUAAGCUGGAGAAUUUUUGUUACGGCGGAAAAAAUGCUAAGUCUUUUGAUAUGCACUACUAUCCUGAAAAGUGCCACAGUGACGAAGCAGAAUUGAAAACGAUUCUGGUGGAACGAGGUAAACCCUGCGAGCGUGCAACCCAAAUUUGGUAGGGGCGUCUCAACCUAAGAAAAUGAACUAAAGGUUGGAUUACUAUUUUAUAGUAAAGAUAGAUGGCUGCUAAAAGUAAUUUUUGCCAAAAAUUACCGGAACAAAACGUGGCUUAUAGAG
rfam:Lactobacillus acetotolerans DNA, complete genome, strain: NBRC 13120.